CGGAAGUAACGCUCAACACGGACUGUGCCUAAAGUGUGUGGACCGCGGGUUUUGACUCUUGCCACCGCCUUCAAGCUGGACUCAGGUGCUACAGGAAUAUGGCUUCUCACCAGUAUGGACUCUUAUAUGAGAUUUCAAGUUCAUCAGAUCACUGAACCUUUUCCCGCAUGUGCUACAACAAUGUGGUUUCUCACCUGUGUGACUUCUCAUAUUGUAUCCAGUAGUCUGAGCCGCUCUUCCCCAGUCCAGACGAUGAUUCCUUCAGCCUCCUGCUUCACUACAAGCGAGUCUACAUCCUGAGUGGUGGAGACUUCCUCCUGUUCCUCUUUAAUCUGUGGGAGCUCUGGGCUCUGCUUGUUCAGACUGGAAUUUCUCUCCUGGUUACAGACCUGCUGGUCAUCCAGACCCUCCUCUUCCUCACACUUCAUGUUGUUGUGGGAGGUCUUGAGGGACAAACGGACACAACAAAAAGGUUACUUAUGAGAUGAC